rnacentral:rRNA from 1 species
AUCUGGUUGAUCCUGCCAGUAGUCAUAUGCUUGUCUCAAAGACUAAGCCAUGCAUGUCUAAGUAUAAACAAUUAUACAGUGAAACUGCGAACGGCUCAUUAAAUCAGUUAUCGUUUAUUUGAUAGUUUUCUACAUGGAUAACCGUGAUAACUUCAGAACUAAUACAUGACAGCCUUCUGGCGUAUAUAUUAGAUACAAACCAACAGUAUGGUGAUUCAUAAUAUCUUGUCGAACCGAUCUUCGGUGUAUCAUUCAAAUUUCUGCCCUAUCAACUGUCGAUGGUAGGAUCGUGGCCUACCAUGGUAACAACGGGUAACGGGGAAUCAGGGUUCUAUUCCGGAGAGGGCCUGAGAAACGGCUACCACAUCCAAGGAAGGCAGCAGGCGCGCAAAUUACCCAAUCCUGACACAGGGAGGUAGUGACAAUAUAUAACGAUCCGGGGCUCUUUGAGUUUCGGAAUUGGAAUGAGUACAAUUUAAACACCUUAACGAGGAACAAUUGGAGGCAAGUCUGGUGCCAGCAGCCGCGGUAAUUCCAGCUCCAAUAGCGUAUAUUAAUGUUGUUGCAGUUAAAAAGCUCGUAGUUGAAAUGGGCGGGCUAUUAGUUUAGGCCGCUUCAGGAAGAACUUCUUCCAGUUACUUUGAAAAAUUAGAGUGUUCAACGCAGGUUUCGCCUGAAUAUAUUAGCAUGGAAUAACAUAACACGACGAGGGUCCAUUUUGUUGGCUUGCAAACCCACGUAAUGAUUAAUAGGGACAGUCGGGGGCGUCAGUAUUGUGUUGUCAGAGGUGAAAUUCUUGGAUUUACAAGACUAACUACUGCGAAGGCAUUCGCCAAGGAUGUAUUCAUUAAGAACGAAAGUUAGGGAUCAAAGAUGAUCAGAUACCGUCGUAGUCUUAACCGUAAACUAUGCCGACUGAGAAUGGGUUACCGCGGUAUCCGCGCUCUACGAAAUCAAAGUGAUCAGGUUCUGGGGAGUAUGGUCGCAAGGCUGAAACUUAAAGGAAUUGACGGAAGGGCACCAGGAGUGGGCCUGCGGCAAUUGGACUCAACACGGGAAACUCACCAGGUCCAGACACAAUAAGGAUUGACAGAUUGAUAGCUCUUUCUUGAUUUUGUGGGUGGUGGUGCAUGGCCGUUCUUAGUUGGUGGAGUGAUUUGUCUGCUUAAUUGCGAUAACGAACGAGACCUUGACCUACUAAAUAGCUCUACUUGCGAUUGCAGGUAGCUAGCUUCUAGAGGGACUAUCUAUUACAAGUAGAUGGAAGUUCGAGGCAAUAACAGGUCUGUGAUGCUUCUGACGUUCUGGUACGCGACAGACCAGCGAGUCGACCAAGCCGAAGGGCUGGGUAAUCUUAAUGAAACUCCGUCGUGCUGGGGAUAGAGCAUUGUGCUCUUCAACGAGGAAUUCCUAGUAAGCGCAAGUCAUCAGCUUGCGUUGAUUACGUCCUGCCCUUUGCACCGCCCGUCGCUACUACCGAUUGAAUGGUUUAGUGAGACCUUGGGAGGGGCGAGAUGAGGGGCAACCUUUUGAACAUCCAAACUUGGUCAAACUUGAUUAUUUAGGAAGUAAAGUCGUAACAAAGGUUUCCGUAGGUGAACCUGCGGAAGGAUCAUUA